GUUUCGUAUUCCAGCACGAAUUCAGGGUGAAGAUGAGGAGCACGACGGCAUUUCCGACAAGCCGUCCUCUGCUUCCUCUGAUUCGUACCAUUGAUUUGAGCUCAAAAACCAAAUCAAUCUCUCUCUAUUAGUACUCAAUCAUCAACCCAUUGGAGCAACCAAGAAUCAGCUGUUAUCACUAUUUCAGAGAGAGAGAGAGAGAGAGUUUGGUCAGUUUAAUCCAAUGGCUGCUCGUUACCGUGGGAAGAAGAAAUCUGAGUGUGUUUUCAGGUUUUUCAAUCCCAGUGUGCUUUCUAUUUUGAUUUUUUUAAAAGUAUACACACAAACUGGUUCUUAUAUACACAUCCAACUCAGAGAAAAUUCAAAUUUCUCUGGGUUCAACGCAGAGAAAAUUCAGCAUCAUCAUACAAGCCUUGAGCCUUUGUAUUUUCCCAUCCUGCCAUAAAACAUCAAUAUCAGUUCCAGAGAAAUUCAAAAUUUCUUUGGAGAUAAAUUCA